rnacentral:miRNA from 1 species
AGCAAUCGCAUGGUCAGUAGACA